rnacentral:snRNA from 1 species
AACUCUGAAGGAGUUCUGAUUGUGCCAUCUGUCACCCCACUGACUGCCAGGGCUAAUUGAGCUAAUUUGGUUGGCUCGGAAGGCGUCUCCAUCCUCUCUCGCUGUGCUGUGCAUCUUUCUCUCCUAUCUUAAGCGAGGAAGCUGCAUGCUCACAGCAGAAACGCAUCUAAGAGGACCUUUCUUCACUCAGGUGUCGACAAACAACCACACUCCCCUGUUGGAUCCUCCAAACAAGAUCACAAGAUCUUGAGCUCAACAGAGAGCACCAGCUAUAAACAGCAGAUCUCUGCUAAAAGGUACUACUGACAUCCAUC